rnacentral:rRNA from 1 species
UACGGAGGGGGUUAGCGUCGUUCGGAAUUACUGGGCGUAAAGCGCGCGUAGGCGGAUAUUUAAGUCAGAGGUGAAAUCCCACGGCUCAACCGUGGAACUGCCUUUGAUACUGGAUGUCUUGAGUUCGAGAGAGGUGAGUGGAAUUCCGAGUGUAGAGGUGAAAUUCGUAGAUAUUCGGAGGAACACCAGUGGCGAAGGCGGCUCACUGGCUCGAUACUGACGCUGAGGUGCGAAAGCGUGGGGAGCAAACAGG